AUACUUACCUGCAGGGCAGAUACUAUGAUCACAAAGGUGGUCUUCCCAGGGUGGGGCUUAUCCAUUGCACUCCGGAUGUGCUGACCCUGCGAUUUCCCCAAAUGCGGGAAACUUGACUGCAUGGUUUGUGGUAGUGUGGGACUGCAUUCGCGCUCUUCCCUG
ensembl:snRNA U1 U1 spliceosomal RNA